AUGUUAAUUUUCACUCCAAUUUCAAAGAAAGGCAAUGCCAAAGAAUGCUCAAACUACCGCACAAUUGCACCCAUCUCACACGCUAGUAAGGAAAUGCUCAAAAUUCUCCAAGCCAGGCUUCAGGACUACGUGAACCAUGAUCUUCCUGAUUUUCAAGCUGGUUUUGGAAAAGGCAGAGGAACCAGAGAUCAAAUUGGCAACAUCUGCUGGAUCAUGGAAAAAGCAAGAGAGUUCCAGAAAAGCAUCUAUUUCUACUUUAUUGACUAUGCUAAAGCCUUUGACUGUGUGGAUCACAAUAAACUGUGGAAAAUUCUGAAAGAGAUGGGAAUACCAGACCACCUGACCUGCCUCUUGAUAAAUCUGUAUGCAGGUCAGGAAGCAACAGUUAGAACUGGAUGUGGAACAACAGACUGGUUCCAAAUAGGAAAAGGAGCACAUCAAGGCUGUAUAUUGUCACCCUGCUUAUUUAACUUAUAUGCAGAGUACAUCAUGAGAAAUGCUGGACUGGAAGGAGCACAAGCUGGAAUCAAGAUUGCCGGGAGAAAUAUCAAUAACCUCAGAUAUGCAGAUGACACCACCCUUAUGGCAGAAAGUGAAGAGGAACUAAAGAGCCUCUUGAUGAAAGUAAAAGAGGAGAGUGAAAAAGUUGGCUUAAAACUCAACAUUCAGAAAACAAAGAUCAUGGCAUCCGGUCCAAUCACUUCAUGGGAAAUAGAUGGGGAAACAGUGGAAACAGUGUCAGACUUUAUUUUUUGGGGUUCCAAAAUCACUGCAGAUGGUGAUUGCAGCCAUGAAAUUAAAAGAUGCUUACUCCUUGGAAGAAAAGUUAUGAGCAGCCUGGAUAGCAUAUUCAAAAGCAGAGACAUUACUUUGCUGACUAAGGUCUGUCUGGUCAAGGCCAUGGUUUUUCCAGCAGUCAUAUAUGGAUGUGAGAGUUGGACUGUGAAGAAGGCUGAGUGCCAAAGAAUUGAUGCUUUUGAACUGUGGUGUUGGAGAAGACUCUUGAGAGUCCCUUGGACUGCAAGGAGAUCCAUCCAGUCCAUUCUGAAGGAGAUCAGCCCUGGGAUUUCUUUGGAAGGAAUGAUGCUAAAGCUGAAGCUCCAGUACUUUGGCCACCUCAUGCGAAGAGUUUGUUGCGAGCAAAAUGACACAAAAACAAAACACACGAGACAGAAAAUACACUACUCCAGCCGGUGGAAAAAAACUGCGUAA
rnacentral:lncRNA from 1 species